rnacentral:rRNA from 1 species
GACGAACGCUGGCGGCGUGCCUAAUACAUGCAAGUUGAGCGAUGAAGAUUGGUGCUUGCACCAAUUUGAAGAGCAGCGAACGGGUGAGUAACGCGUGGGGAAUCUGCCUUUGAGCGGGGGACAACAUUUGGAAACGAAUGCUAAUACCGCAUAAUAACUUUAAACAUAAGUUUUAAGUUUGAAAGAUGCAAUUGCAUCACUCAAAGAUGAUCCCGCGUUGUAUUAGCUAGUUGGUGAGGUAAAGGCUCACCAAGGCGAUGAUACAUAGCCGACCUGAGAGGGGGAUCGGCCACAUUGGGACUGAGAAACGGCCCAAACUCCUACGGGAGGCAGCAGUAGGGAAUCUUCGGCAAUGGACGAAAGUCUGACCGAGCAACGCCGCGUGAGUGAAGAAGGUCUUCGGAUCGUAAAACUCUGUUGGUAGAGAAGAACGUUGGUGAGAGUGGAAAGCUCAUCAAGUGACGGUAACUACCCAGAAAGGGACGGCUAACUACGUG